UCCGGUUUGUCACCGGCAGUCUCCCUAGAGUGCCCUUGCGUAGCAACUAAUGACAAGGGUUGCGCUCGUUGCGGGACUUAACCCAACACCUCACGACACGAGCUGACGACAGCCAUGCAGCACCUGUGUUCCCGUUCCCUUUCGGGCACAGCCGGAUCUCUCCAGCCUUCAGGACAUGUCAAGGGUAGGUAAGGUUUUUCGCGUUGCAUCGAAUUAAUCCACAUAAUCCACCGCUUGUGCGGGUCCCCGUCAAUUCCUUUGAGUUUUAACCUUGCGGCCGUACUCCCAGGCGGUCGACUUCACGCGUUAGCUUCGUCACUGAGAGCCUGAUUGCUCCCAACGUCCAGUUCGCAUCGUUUAGGGCGUGGACUAC
rnacentral:misc_RNA from 1 species